rnacentral:rRNA from 1 species
AUACGGAGGAUCCGAGCGUUAUCCGGAUUUAUUGGGUUUAAAGGGUGCGCAGGCGGGAGAUUAAGUCGGCGGUGAAAUUUUUGAGCUCAACUGUAAAAGUGCCUUCGAAACUGGUUUCCUUGAGGGUAGAUGAAGGAGGCGGAAUUUGUGGUGUAGCGGUGAAAUGCAUAGAUAUCACGAGGAACUCCGAUUGCGCAGGCAGCUUACUAAACUACUACUGACGCUCAGGCACGAAGGCGUGGGGAUCAAACAGGAUUAGAUACCCUGGUAGUCCACGCAGUAAACGAUGAUUACUAGCUGUUUGCGAUACAAUGUAAGCGGCUGAGCGAAAGCGUUAAGUAAUCCACCUGGGGAGUACGUUCGCAAGAAUGAAACUCAAAUGAAUUGACGGGG